GAAACAUCAUAAUGAAAACUGCUUAUUGGGAGAAAAUGAUGUGGAUGAAGAUGUGGACAUGUCUGAAGAACAAUGUGGAUCAGCUGGGUGCUAAGUUUGGAGUUAAAUAAAGACAGAGAUGUGGAAAGAAUCCAUGGGAGUGGUAUUAAUACCCUUGAUAUUGAGCCUGUUGAGGGAAGAUACAUGUUAUCAGGUGGAUCAGAUGGUGUUGUUAUACUUUACGACCUUGAAAACUUCAGCAAAAAACCUUGUUAUACAUGUAAAGCAGUUUGUUCUGUGGGCAGAAGCCAUCCUGAUGUACACAGAUUCAGCGUAGAGACAGUUCAGUGGUACCCUCAUGAUACUGGCAUGUUCACAUCAAGCUCGUUUGAUAAAACACUGAAAAUAUGGGAUACAAACACACUACAACCUGCAGAUAUAUUUAAUUUUGAAGGAACAGUUUAUAGCCAUCACAUGUCUCCUAUUGCUACCAAGCACUGUUUGAUAGCAGUUGGUACCAAAAGCCCUAAAGUACAUCUCUGUGACUUGAAGUCUGGAUCCUGUUCUCAUAUUCUGCAGGGUCACAGACAGGAAGUGCUAGCGGUAUCUUGGUCACCACGUUAUGAACAUGUGUUGGCAACUGCAAGUGCUGACAGUCGAGUAAAACUAUGGGAUGUGAGGAGAGCAUCUGGAUGUCUGUUUACUCUUGAUCAACACAAUGGUGAAAAAUCCAAAGCAUCUUCUGAAGCUGCAAAUACUGCGCAUAAUGGAAGAGUUAAUGGCUUGUGUUUUACAAGUGAUGGGCUUCAUCUUCUGACUGUUGGUACAGACGAUAGGAUGAGACUCUGGAACAGUUCCACUGGGGAAAACACACUGGUGAACUAUGGGAAAGUUUGUAAUACAAGUAGGAAAGGAAUCAAAUUUGCCAUCUCUCGUGGCUGUAAUCCAGAAUUUGCUUUUGUGCCAUAUGAUAGUAACAUUGCUGUUUACACAAUUUACUCUGGUGAAUUGAUAACUAUGCUCAGAGGACAUUACAGCACUGUUGAUUGCUGUGUAUUCCAGUCUGAUUUUCAGGAACUAUAUAGUGGUAGCAAAGACUGCACUAUCCUAGCUUGGGUGCCAGCUCUACGAGAGCCUGUUCCUGAAGAAGAUAAUGAAAAGUCUCUACCUCUACAAAGCUUAAAUCCAGCCUAUGAAGAUGCAUGGAGCAGCAGUGAUGACGAAGGAUGAAUUUCAAUGAGCUGUUGAUAUAAAACUGAUAAGUCAUGUUUUGUAUUCAUGAAGAAGGACUUUAUCUACAGAAUCAGACAAGUAUUUAUUGUCAUUAGCUGCUUUGUUCAGUUCUUCUAAAAACUCAGCCUUUCAGAAACAAUUUUUUCCAUAAAGUUACAACUAUACUGUUUUCACAUUUGCUCUCUCUUCUUGCCAUAUUUUAAAAUAAUAUUAAAUUUUCAUGUUUUCAUCAUCACCUACCCCGAUACUUUGGGCACAGUUUUUUGGGAGCCUCUCAGUCUCACAGAAGCUUCUCGACAGGUACAGUUAUAGGAUCCAGCUCUGGACGAGGCAAGGCUGGGAGUAUCUGUCUAGAUGCUUCUAUGAACCCCAUCAGUUUAGUACCUGAGUUAAUUCCAGGUGUGUACAAAUUAAACUAGACACAGCAGAAGUCUCUACAGUCACUCCUUAGCUCUGCAGUUCUCUUCUUGAGGCCUGCCUGAGCCUAGACUCUGCACUUUUGGAAGCGCUGAAAGAACUUUGUUUGGGCAGCUAUUUAGUAGUCAAAAUGGGUCCAUGGUGUUGCUUAGUGGGUCUCUACUUGUUUCAUUUUUUUAAUUUUGUUUUAUUACUUCUAGUUGCCCUUUUACGUUUGUUUCUCUUGCUGUAAACUGCCCUGAUCCUUUGUUGGGAAGGGCAGCAUAUGAAUUGCAUAAAUAAAUAAAUGACCCUGUAAAUAUGGUCAUAAGAUCCAUUAGUAUCCUGUCUUGCAUCAAAACCCCCAGUGGGAGAGGGAAGAAUUCCUGGAUAGGAGUAGGCAGUGACUGAAAGGUUUGGCUUCUGAUAUUGCCGAAGAGUCUGACUGUUGGAAAAAGGGUAGUUGGUACUGAUGUUUUGUAAUCUGUAGAUUAGGAGCCUGAAUUUCAGACAUAUUCUGGAUUAAAGACUGGCCUCUCCUGCCCAGCAGAACAAGUUAGAGGAAGCUGAGUCAAUCGGGAUUCAAGCAGGAACACAAUUUUGGAAGGUAAAAAGUGUUCUGUAAACAAAUGACAAACACCAAACAUUCAGAGGUCAUGCUUUUCAGGCAGAUGAAGGAUGGGUUUAUUUUUCUGUUCAUUUUUUUUUUUGCCUUCAUGUUUGAAUUAAUGUUUUCAAACUUUUUUCUGCAACUCUCAGGGCUGAAAACUAUUUACUGAAAACAUUUUCCAAGCAGUCUCUUAAGGUUCCAGCUACAGAAUUUAAGACUAGCACAACAUACUUCAAGACCUCAAAUAAGAACUUGAUUUAACAACACAGAGUUUCUGUAACUCAGAUUAGGAUUUAUUUUUGUUAACCCAGUGCCACAGUUCUAUCUUGUCUUAUACCUGUGUAAGACAAUUCAAGGAAAAUGUCAGUGUCACUUUUGGGGGUGUGAGAUUACAAUAUUCAUUGACUGUAAGCUCUUCAACACAGCGACUGUUGCUGCUGGCAGAUGUUAAGGCAGUUGUGCAGUUAGGAAAUUUUACAUGCCAUCCCAGAACUGUGUUAUGCCUUGUCAGAUAUGCAUGGCAAGUCGCACUAUUUUAGGGACAGGGCAUAAACUUUCCCAGAACCCAGCUGCGCAGAUGUCUGUCUGUGUCAGUCCUGCCAAUCCUGAUGAUCACAUGAUUAGAGCUGCCCUGUGCCUGAUCUCCAAGAUCUGGCAGGGAACAGCCCCAGUUCCCCAACAAAGACCCUGGGCUUCCCCAUGCCCUGUCCCAAGGGCAGGGUUCCCCAAAACCUGGCAGAUUUUUGCCUUGUUCUGACACUUCAAGAGCUGGAGAACAGGGCUCUUUUAAAGUGCCUUGGGGUUCCCUGCAACCUGGCACUUCUGAAGAGCACUUCUGGGAAGAAGUUUGGAAAGGAAGAAAAUGCACUCUUCAACUGUAAUGUUGUAGAAUGAACUACAGUUCCAGAAGGCUGCUGAAGAAGAGGAAGUGGAGGAGAGCUGGGACUGCUUGUAAAAUAGCUCGGCAGUUGGAGCACAGUGAGAGGCAGUGGAGACCCAAGAAGUGCACUUAAACUGGCAGUGGCAAUCCCCACUGAGCAGCAGUGACACCUGCAGCGCUUGCAGAGUGGCAGCAAGCAGUGAUCCCGAGAGGCAGCAAGUGACACAGACCCAAGUGUCACUCCUUGAAGUUGCAGCAAUAACCCCUGAGUGGCAGAGCAGAAGUGGCCCUGAGCAGCAGCAGUCCUGAGCAAGGACCCCAAAAGGUGGUGCCUUCCUAAAGGCAGUACAACCUCUGUAGUAACAGCAAGUGACAAAGUCUCUCCCCUAGCAAACUGGAGGGAAACUCCUCUCCUCACUCAGGGUUGCUGCUGCUGUUCUGCAGGGUCACUGUGGAAUUGUGCUACUUGAUGACGCUGAGGUCUCCACUGCCUCUUGCCUUCCUCCAACUGCUGAGCUAUUUCACAUGCAGUCUCAGUUCUCUACUUCCUCUCUUGCCCAGUAGCCUUCUGGGAACAGUAGUUCGUGCUAUGACAUUACAGUCUGUUACAAGGCCUCUUCCUAGAUCCCCAGGAAAGGACUUCCCUAUAGGAUUUUUCUCAGCGCUCCCAUCAUCUAUUUUCUUAACAUUCCUAAACAGUAUAAAGCGAUAGUGCAGGAAAGGGAAUGGUGUAAAUGCAACUGGACUCCUCUCUCUGGCCCACAGUCAGGGAACAAGUAAGAGUUUGGAACCUCAGAUCAAAUUACAAAAGAACAGUUGCAUCAGUUCUGAAAGAAUGCCAUUUACCUGAAAAGAACUGAUUUCACUACGGGUACUUCUACAGUGAAGGAUACCUUAACGAUAAUGCUCUUUUUUCCUCAUUUGAGUUCCAAGUAGAGUUAACAAAAAGCUGGGCGGAUGGAUUUGGUUUUGGACUUUUUUAGUAUUGUUUUUUCCUGCAUACCAGAAAUUCCUCAGACUGCAGCUUCUCAGUAAUAUGAUUAUCUUGUCAGUUUCUCUGAUGAUGAUCAUAGAAAAGUGUGACUGGAAGGUACCUCUGGAGGUCAUUGUGGCAAGAAGAGGUAGGCCCCCAGGAAUUCAGAAGUUUGUUGAAUUCAAAAUAUUUUCUACAAAAUAAACUGACAUUUUCUGACAAGUUUUAUUGUGGUUGAUGUCGGAAAAACAUGCCAUCAACUCUUGAUGGAAGUAUUCCUUUGUACAGUCUCCUAUGAGAAGUGAGCUUAUGCUUAAUUAUAGGACCCCUCACUAUUAUAUACCCUUGGUGAAGACUGCAGCUCUGGCAACCCACCAUUAUAAACAGCCUAUAUACUUUAACAGGUACACUGGGGCAUGCACAGGUAGGUACUCAGAAUACUGUAAACGGAUUCUGGUACAGACAGCCCUGGUGCAGUCCCGGGAACUAGUGGAUGAUCAGCUGAUUAUCAGCCAGCUCUAGAGGCUGCACUGGGGCCAGUUCAAUCCCUGCUGUGGUCCCAGAACCAGCUGACAAUCAGCUGCUAGUGGUCAGCUGCUGGGGACCACACCAGGAUGGUUGGAGACUCCAGUGAAGUUCUGCCACACAUUCAAUUUAAGGCUCAAUGGAAAUCGGUAACAAAAAUAUUACACAUCUCUGUAGUAAUUUUGUAGUUGGUUUCCCUUUCUGCAGUGUCAUUAGUUCCUGAAUGUCUGGCCAGGUUACUAUUUAAGACACAAUUGCCUUACUAUUUAAAACUAAUUGCCUCUUUAAGUAUAACGUCUACCAAGUGUUUGAAGCUUCCAUGUUAUGAAGCUCUCAGGACUGCUUGUAGUAAAGCCAGGUGAGGGGGAGAUAUGGUACAUUUGAUAAAGUUAAAACUAUUCAGAUUUUACAUAGCAAAGAAGCCAAAGAGGAUGUGAGGCUCCAUAUUAUUAUUAGUAGUAUUUAAUUUCUUGCAAUUCUGUUUGGAAAGAAACUUACAAUGACAAUUAAAUAAAUAGUAUUUUGUUUGUUUGUUUGUUUUCCAGUUUUAAAAAUCAAACCACACCUCUAAGCCAUGGAGCAAAUUUCCUCUGGGUUCUUCAGAUCUGUCCAAUCCACAGAUCACAAACCUUUUUAUUUUGCUACAUCUGAGGGGGAAAAUUAUUCAAUACCUUUAACUCCAGUAGAACAGUUUUGUAGUAAGUUCUCACAGGCCCUAGCAAAGAUUAAAAUCGGUAUAUUAAAUUGAUCUUCCUUGUUACAAAUGUACUAUUAAGAUGAAAACCAGGAACAUGUCCAAACAAGAAUAAGAUAACUGAGUUGGCAGAAUGCAAUGUUAUUCACUUUUAUGUUGCAACAUAGAUAAUAUUGCAUAAAAAACCCACCUCUAUUAAAAAAAAAAAAAAUAUUCUUGACUUUUUAUUUACCAGGCAGCAAGAGCUGAAAAACCAGUGAGAGCUUUCAAGUUUCCACCAAUUUUAAAAGUACUCAGCACCUUGCAAGAUAACAUCUGUCUGUAUUACAACAGACCCUGAGCUUCCCUGGCAUUGCUUUGGACUGAAUGACCUUUGAGAAUUCAAGUACAUGAAUGCAUGGAGAUGAAGAAAAACACAUCUGAGAGGAGAAUCUAGGCAGAGGGGGACACAGGAAUCCUCAGAGCUGAGACAGAGAAAGUGGUGUUCAGUGCAUGUAAUUGGAAAAAAGUAGAUUUUUUUUUCCAACUACUUAAGUUGGUCUAAUAAAAGAGAUCAGAUUC